GGCCAGCACCGAGAAGCUGGUGAUGGCCGCCAGCUUCCACACGUCGGUCGAGUCCUCCACGUGUUUACCUGCGGACGGAAGAGGGGGGGGGACGUGAGCUGCAGCGCUGCGGGGCGCGCGGAGGGGUUUACGUCAUCGGCGCGGUUCAAAGGGUCACGGAAUGGAACUGAACCUUGGCUGCCGCUCGACCUCCGUCUAAACCCAAACCGCGCUCGAGGUGAAGCGGCGCAUGUGUUGCCGAAACCGGAGGAACGCACGAAACCGCUGAUGAGGCCGAUAAGCGCGACCUUGUUCCCGAGCAGCGAGCUCGAGCGUGACAGCACAAAGAGCCCGUUCGCGUGUUUCACCGGCUUUUUUCUUUUACUAUUUUGUCCCCUCCGUCGUGUGGAGCAUUUCAUUCCAAUCAUAAGAUGCUCGUGAGAAACAGAACGUGACAAA